GAAAAAUAAAUCCGGAAAAAAAAAUGUACGAGAGAGCAAAUUCAGAGAAAGAUCUUGGAACAAACCCUAGAAACAAAUCAUUAAUGGCAGCAAAAUCAUGAAGAGUGCGGAAACAUAACAUAAUAUCUCCUUCACUGAAUCUACAAUUCUCUUUUCUCUUCGACCUCUCACAGAAUUGUAACACUGAGGGUUCGAGAUCGAUAAUUUAAUGAUAAAGAAGAUCGUUGUCUGAUUCCGUUGGCAGAGUAGAUGGGGAAGAAAUUGAUGGUGGUCUGUUGAUAUCGAGAAGAAGGAAUUGAUGGAAAUUUGCUAAAUUAGGGUUUGGAUUGAGAUAUGAAGAUGAUUCUGAUAAUACUGGUGUUAACAGCGGGGAAUUGGAAUUGGGUUUUGUCUGAAUUAGGCUUUGAGAUGUUGGUGAUGAGCUCUGUCCAGAAGAAUUUAUAUUAGGGUUUGGUGAUCUGAGCGAAUUCUGUUUAGAUUUCGGUAAUCUUUUUCGAUUAUGCUGUUGAAUUCAGAGAAGCAGAUUCAGAGUAAACAACGAGGAAUUGAAGUGGUUUUGAUUGAAGUAGGUUUGGGUUUGUCUCGAAUUAACAGUUCAGAGAAGAUGAUAAUGGUAAAAUUGGAGUUAGGGUUUCUAGUGAAAUUGGAGUUAAGGUUUCUUGAUUUGUCCAGAUUGCUCUGUGAUUGAUUUCUCGGUUGAUGCACGAAUUUCUCGAAAUUGUGGCCCUCGGGUUGAUCAUGCAGAGAAGCUUGAAAAAGGAGUAUCGGAAUUGAGAACUGACAGUCGUGGGCUUGAGGUCUAUGUUUAUGGUAUCAGAAGCCAUUGUGAACAUCAACACCAGUUUAAUCACUGUUACUACAGAAAGUGGUGAGUACCCUUCAGGAACAUACUAGGAAGAUCAAUGAAGCCUGAAGGAUUUUUAUGUACCCAAUCAGAGCAAACACAACAGACAACUGGCCUCUACUGAUAAUCCAGACUGAUCCGUGAACGUUUGAUUGUGGAAGACCUUCCGUUCCUAGAAAAUACCUAUAGAUUUGGGCACCACUAACUUAUAUGGGUUUUCUUUUAGUAUCUAUAUCUAUCAUUCUCGAAUCCUUGGCAGGGAUGGUGGGUACUCUGGGAACUUGCCUUACGGAAUAGGUAAAUAUGCUCAGUUUAGUUUAGCAGAUGGGGGAUUGAUGUGUGAUGAUGUCCAUUGUGGGGCUGUGAAGAAAGCAUACUUAAUUAAAAUUCCCUCUUUGGAUUCGACAUGAUGAUUCUGCCUUUCUAGACUGUCCUCUGAGGACUUCCAAUACUAGAUUCUUGAGCAUGCUAUAGAUGGAAAAUCCAAGAUAACAUUGAGGUACUCAUAUAAGUAGUUUUUGAAGUUGUUGAGGAGCUAGCUGUUCCUGAGAAUAAAUUCAUAUAAGGGCAAAAUCAGUUUCUUUAAUAAGGGAAUAGAGUUCAAAAGAUAACAAUGGUUUGGUUGUAUGGAUUGCGCUUGACAACCACCCACUGUAUUGUGAAGGACACAAUUUAUUUUGUGUCCAUAUUGAUGCGCUAAAGGUACGUGCAUAUCGAAUCCUUUGUCUUGCUGCUUCGUUGCUUAAGCUUUCUUAUUUUAUAUCUCAUCCGAGCAUAAUAAUUCAUGUGAAUCACUAAAAUAUUUUGGAACCUCACCUGUGGAUAGAAUCAGAUGCAUUGAAUUAUGUACAUGGUUUUGAACUUGCAACUAAUAUGAUUUUGAUACAGAUCACAUCCCACACUUUCCGCUUCCUCUAGGCAGUGUACGUAGGCUGUAAGAUUUUCUUUCCAUGUGGUAUACUGGUGAGUUGCAGUUUCAAUGUAGAAUCAGUUCCACUUUCUCCCAGAUGAUAACAUUGUAUUACCGAAGUUUUUAGAACUAUAAUGUGAAAGCGGAAAUUUACCCAAAAGAGACAACUGAUUGCAAUAUUGGACCUCUUGACAUGCAUAAUUGUUAUAAUUUUAGUUUUGAGUUAAUCAACCUAGCCAGUGUUUCUUUACCAGUAUAGUGAUUUGGUAUCAAUUUAAAAUGUAACUGUCAUAUGUAAUGAAAAGGUAUUUAUGUAUCUAUUAUGACAUUGUUCUUUUUACUAAGCUUACAGAAGUGCUGACAAGAUUUGGUUAAAGUUCAAAAGGAUGUGGUGAUUACAGACACAAACCUAUUCCUCCACAUUCGACUGCCAAGGCUUUUGCGUGUAUUUAAGCCAAGGAGAUAGCGAUGCUGAUGCAUUUCUUAUAAUGAUAUAAUUGUAGGGGGAUAAAUUAUAUUAUCCCCCUACAAUCAUCUCCUCUUUUCUCUUUAACCUUCGACCCUCAUUUCAGAUGUUUAUCUAUUUCAAUCGAAUCAGCUUAAUGAAAAACAACAAUCUGGGGCCGUGCUGUAAUUGGGGAUUUCGUCAAAGUCAGUUGGAGCUGUGCUGUAAUUGGGGAUUUCGUCAAAGUCACCGAGAAACAGUAAUUGGGGAAUUUUGGAGAUGCGCUGUAAUUGGGGAUUUUUAAAUUUGAUUCAAAUCAGUUGAAGUGUCAUUAAUCAGUAGAGUUUUUUAUACAUCGAACUCUUUAAUCUUCUUUUCGUGAAUUUCCGGCGCAAUCAAAACCGGUAGUUCAAAUUUGGAUUUUUGGUUUAGGGUUCAGUAGUAUUGGAUUUGCGUUUGGUUUUUUCUGAUGGUUCAAUUAUAAGUUUUGCUGAUGGAAUAUAACAUCGUUUAAUGUCGAUAGUUGUGUUCAUGGGAGACCCAGAUGGAUUUGGAGUUUAAGCUUCCCCAUGUUCUAGCACGGGACAAUCAGAGGUUGAAUUGGAGCUGUGAUCGUCGAGCAGUUUUCAUGGAUUUGCAUCUAAUUAUAGUCACCACUGAGUGCAUGAAAGAAGUUAAGUGUUCAUGGACCGUCGAAGCUUCCACGAACUGUUUCGAGGGCAAGAUUGAGACUAUUCUUAGUCGUCAGAACCAGCUAGCUUGCAAUGAGUUCAAUUUGAGAGUUGUUAGUCAGGUGGGUGUCCCUUGGAGCAUCAAUACGCAUCCCAAGUUUCUGAUUGGGUUUCUAGGUAUCAUAGAAAAAAAUUAAUUGCACAACAAAUGAGGUAUUCAUCUCAAGAUUCGGCGACAAGAGGCAUUAAACAAGUGACAUGAUGGACAGUCCAGUGAUGCCAAACUCCCAUGUUCAUUCCAGCGUCACAAUCUAUUGUUAAGAAGAGACAUCGAUUCAGUAUAUACUGGCAUAUGACAGAGAGAUACCAAUAUGUGCGAAGACUAAAGUUGCCUGGAGUCCAUCAACUUAAGAAGAAAUAAUGGCGGCAUCUGCGAUAGGCUCUUUCUUAUGGAUGGGGGUGAAUGUGCUGAAGCCUAAGGAACAUGAGACUUGAAAGCGGAUCCAUAGAAUAAGGAGCUUGCAGAUAGCUUACUAAAGCUAAAAGGGUUCAAGUCGCUGACUCAAUUCUAACUCAAGUGGCGGGUAUAUAUAUUGAGAUCUAUGUACGGGGAUAAUUCUUCUUUUUCUCUUUUUUGUUUUCCUUUUUGUGAUUUUAUUUUCUUUGCUGCUAAUGCAACGGUUGUGAGUAAUCAUAAGCUAUUACUUGCAUGUUGUGCAAAUGCUGCUUCUAUAUAUUGGUUAACUGGAUGGUUGUUUUGUAAAUGCUUUUGACCGAGUAUCCGUAACUAUAAGCAUAACCUCAUGUUUUGUAAAUGCAUUGGGCUGGGCGAGGCGAAGCCGAGCCUCACCAAAUAAAAAAUCUUAAGCGACGGGAAAGGAUGCAUCAGGACAGGGGCGAGGCGAAGCCGAGCCACACCAAAUCAAACAUGCAUGGGGACGGGGCGAGGCGCAGCGAGCCACACCUAAUCAAAAAUACAUCGGACAGGGCGAGGCGAAGCCAACCACGCCAAAUCAAAAAUGUAUCGCGAUGAGGUGGGGCAAAGCCCCGCAACACCAAAUCAAAAAUGCACGACGGGACGAGGCGCAGCCGAGCCACACCUAAUCAAAAAUGCAUGGGGACGGACACCUAAUCAAAAAGACAUCGUACGGGGCGAGGCGAAGCCGACCACACCAAAUCAAAAAUGUAUCGCGGGGUGAAGCCCCGCAACUCCAAAUUAAAAAUGCACGACGGGACGGGGCGAGGCGCAGCCAAACCACACCUAAUAAAAAGUACAUUGGGACAGGGCGAGGCAAAGCCGACCACAACAAAUCAAAAAUGUAUCGCGACGAGGUGGGGAGAAGCCCCGCAA